rnacentral:rRNA from 1 species
CCUACGGGAGGCAGCAGUGAGGAAUAUUGGUCAAUGGACGCAAGUCUGAACCAGCCAUGCCGCGUGCAGGAAGACGGCUCUAUGAGUUGUAAACUGCUUUUGUACGAGGGUAAACGCAGAUACGCGUAUCUGUCUGAAAGUAUCGUACGAAUAAGGAUCGGUUAACUCCGUGCCAGCAGCCGCGGUAAUACGGAGGAUUCAAGCGUUAUCCGGAUUUAUUGGGUUUAAAGGGUGCGUAGGCGGUCGGAAAAGUUGGGGGGAAAAUCCCGAGGCUAAACGUCGGAAUUGCCUUUGAUACUGUUCGGCUGGAGGGCAGAUGCGGUGGGAGGAAUGUGUGGUGUAGCGGUGAAAUGCUUAGAUAUCAUACAGAACACCGAUUGCGAAGGCAGCUUACGAAGCUACGUCUGACGUUGAGGCACGAAAGCGUGGGGAGCAAACAGGAUUAGAUACCCUUGUAGUC